rnacentral:rRNA from 1 species
AUUACUCCUACGGGAGGCAGCAGUGGGGAAUAUUGGACAAUGGGGGCAACCCUGAUCCAGCAAUGCCGCGUGUGUGAAGAAGGCCUGCGGGUUGUAAAGCACUUUCAGUAGGGAAGAAAAGCCUGGGGCUAAUACCUCCGGGUCUUGACGUUACCUAAAGAAGAAGCACCGGCUAACUCCGUGCCAGCAGCCGCGGUAAUAAU